rnacentral:rRNA from 1 species
AUGAUAGUGAUAGAUGAGCUUCCAUUCAUAUUCACAGAGAAAGAAGGUUUUAGGUUGUUCAUGGCAAAAGCUUGCCCAAGGUUCACUGUACCAUCUAGGACAACUAUGUAUAGAGAUAUCAUUGCUCUUUAUGAAGCUGACAAAGCUAUGCUUAGAAAAUAUUUCACUAAAUCACGUCAAACUUCUGGGUGGAAUCUUAGAAAAAAAUUUAUUAACUUUGUCUUGGUAGAUGGACACAAAGGGGAUGACAUUGGGAAAUCAUUAGAAAAAUUACUUAUUGAGUGGGGCAUUGAGCGAGUGUGCACUAUUAUUGUUGAUAAUGCAAGUUCUAAUGACACUUGCUUAGCCUACAUGAAGAGUUCUUUGACUAAUAGGGUCUAUACACAUGCAAAAAGUCAGUAUCUUCACAUGAUGUGUGUGGCACAUAUUGUUAAUCUAGUGGUCCAAGAUGGGCUAAAGAUAAUGUGCCAUCCAAUAAAUAGAAUUCGAAGUGCUAUCAAGCUUCUGAGAGCCUCCCCAACUAGAUUGGAUUUUUUAAAAAGUGUGUGCAGCUUAGCAAGGUAG